GCAAUUGCUUGCUGGAUGUGUACUGGUGUUUCCCAUUCUCUCUUCCAUGUCUUUUAGCCUAGUCCCGCCAUUUAAGUCUUAGUUCUCUCUUCAGGUGUGGCAGGUCUCUGUGAACCCACCUGCUGGAUUACUUUCAAAGAGCACUUUCCAUUUUCUAGGUUUCUAUUUGUCUGUACAUCACUACCCAGCCUGUCUCAUAAC
rnacentral:lncRNA from 10 species